GGUGAUUAAGUUAAUCUGUUUACUACAAUGUCCUACAAGAAGUAGGAUGAAGCUAAGUUCAGCGCUCCUGGGCAGCAAGUCAAUUAAUCCCGGCAACAUCCAGACUCUGCAGGAUAUUUAGUGUCAAAUGGUUUAUUUCACAAAUUGAUGUAAACAAACGGUCGCUUAAAGAAGUCGCUGCGUCUUGAGGAUGUCUUAAACGGCUAUCACAAGGAUAUGAUUACUCAG